rnacentral:rRNA from 1 species
UACGUAGGGUGCGAGCGUUAAUCAGAAUUACUGGGCGUAAAGGGUGCGCAGGCGGCGUCGCAAGUCAGGCGUGAAAUCCCCGGGCUUAACCUGGGAACUGCACUUGAAACUACGAUGCUGGAGUAUGGCAGAGGGAGGUGGAAUUCCACGUGUAGCGGUGAAAUGCGUAGAGAUGUGGAGGAACACCGAUGGCGAAGGCAGCCUCCUGGGCCAAUACUGACGCUCAUGCACGAAAGCGUGGGGAGCAAACAGG